UACCAGCACCCCGAGUGGUCGGGACGAUUAUUGGGCCUAAAGCAUCCGUAGCCGGUUUUACAAGUCCUCCGUUAAAUCCAGCUGCUUAACAGAUGGGCUGCGGAGGAUACUACAAGGCUAGGAGGCGGGAGAGGCAAGCGGUAAUCAGUGGGUAGGGGUAAAAUCCUCUGAUCCAUUGAAGACCACCAGUGGCGAAGGCGGCUUGCCAGAACGCGCUCGACGGUGAGGGAUGAAAGCUGGGGGAGCAAACCGG
rnacentral:rRNA from 1 species